rnacentral:tRNA from 1 species
GCGCGUGUAGCCCAAUUGGAUAGAGCGCCGGCUUGCGGAGCCGUAGGUUGUGGGUUCAAGUCCCGCCACGCGCA